rnacentral:rRNA from 1 species
GAUGAACGCUGGCGGCGUGCCUAAUACAUGCAAGUCGAGCGAACGGACGAGAAGCUUGCUUCUCUGAUGUUAGCGGCGGACGGGUGAGUAACACGUGGAUAACCUACCUAUAAGACUGGGAUAACUUCGGGAAACCGGAGCUAAUACCGGAUAAUAUUUUGAACCGCAUGGUUCAAAAGUGAAAGACGGUCUUGCUGUCACUUAUAGAUGGAUCCGCGCUGCAUUAGCUAGUUGGUAAGGUAACGGCUUACCAAGGCAACGAUGCAUAGCCGACCUGAGAGGGUGAUUCGCCACCCUGGAACUGAGACACGGUCCAGACUCCUACGGGAGGCAGCAGUAGGGAAUCUUCCGCAAUGGGCGAAAGCCUGACGGAGCAACGUCGCGUGAGUGAUGAAGGUCUUCGGAUCGUAAAACUCUGUUAUUAGGGAAGAACAUAUGUGUAAGUAACUGUGCACAUCUUGACGGUACCUAAUCAGAAAGCCACGGCUAACUACGUG